rnacentral:tRNA from 1 species
GCUACUGUGGCUCAGCAGGUAGAGCAGUUCACUCGUAAUGAACAGGUCGCCAGUUCGAAUCUGGCCAGUAGCUCCA